CAGAGGACAGAGCCUGCUCCUUGGCAGCUCAAUCUCCCUGAGGGGCGGGCGGCGCCUUAGGAACUGGAAUUAUUUAGCAGCUGACACAUUCAAGUCACUCCAAGGAAUCUCCCACCCUGCACAGAAGUCUGAUCCAAUUUGCUGGGCCGCCCUCCUGAGACCCUCUGUUUCCAGAUGCACAUCCAAGCCAUAUUUUAGGUCAAAGUGGAAAACCGGAAACUCAGAGAGAAGGAACUCUCCCUAGGCCUCUGGACAGCAAGUCUCAGGAUGGGCCUGGAUUGUUGAGUCACCACUUGGAGAAAAACCUCCCCAAACAGCCCAGCCAACCCAGAAGCACUUCAGGGGACUUAGGGGAAGAAACCAACUUUCAUCAGACAUGAGCUGUGUGAUGAAAUCUCUGAGUUGGAAGAUGUCACCAAGCCCUCCUGCCCAGUAUAAAAUAUCAAGUUGAUGAGGACCAACCAUCUCAUCAGAUUGCUAUGUUGAAAUUUCGGGCAUUGUGUCAAUGUGUUUUUAAAAAAAGGACAGAUAUUUAAAAAAUAAAAGCAAUGAAAAAUGAUGGAUUACCUGAGGUCAUCUUAAGCCAGCAGAGUUUAGCUAAUCUUAAAAAAAACACAAAAAACACCUGACUCUGUCCUUUGCUGUUGAAGAGGCAUUUGAGCCCCUCUUCAAUCUGUUCAUUUUGACCUGCUUUUUGCAUAUUUUUGCAUAUAUUUCCUCACCUCUCUGACUGAAGUGAGCACCAAGG
ensembl:lncRNA